UAAGCGUGCUUGGCGAGAGUAGUACUAGGAUGGGUGACCCCCUGGGAAGUCCUCGUGUUGCAUCCC
rnacentral:rRNA from 1 species